rnacentral:lncRNA from 1 species
UUUAUAGUUGGACUGCUGGAUAUUGAUGUGGUUCUAUAUAAAAAAUUUAAUAUAAAAGAGUUCUGUUAUGUCCGAUCAAUGGUUUUGAAAUGCAUAAGUUUUUGAUUGCAUAUAUCCAUGUUGGUGGGGGUUCUUGGGCUGUUCUGUCAUUGAUAAUGUUUUCUGUUUUAUGCCUGGUCAUUAUUUCUAAAUCCAUAGUUAGCAGAGGAUAUUGUAUCCUUGCUGAGAAGCAUAGCAUAUCUCAUAUCUACACCUCCUUCACUUAUAAAGGUAAGUUUUAUGAACAAAUAACAGGAGUACCCAUAGGUAGUCCAUUUGCAGGGUCUUUAGCAGAAAUACUGCUGAGAUCACUGAAAAACCAAUUUAUCCCACACUUCCAAC